rnacentral:tmRNA from 1 species
GGGGGCGACCGGUUUCGACGGGAUAUGAUCGUUGUUAAACUGCAUGCGGAGAUCUUGGAAUUCUCCUAAAACAUCCAAACAUUCAUACAUGCCGAUUACGGCUACAUGGCUGCAGCUUAAGACUGUGGCUCGUCCUUUAUCCGAUUUGUCUGUGGUUAGAUAAAAGGGCGUCGACUACACAGACUGGUUUCUGUUUUUGCCCAUAAAAUAGGAAUAAGAACUUUUGGGCUGGUUUCGCUGACUGUCUGUCCCUGGCCAUAUGCGGAAUAAGAUC